rnacentral:piRNA from 1 species
UGGAAAGAAAUGAAAAUGAAAUGUGCCACCAC